GACGAACGCUGGCGGCGCGCUUAACACAUGCAAGUCGAGCGAGAACCAGACCUUCGGGUCUGGGGACAGCGGCGAACGGGUGAGUAACACGUGGGUAAUCAACCCUCGGUACUGGGAUAGCCCGGGGAAACCCGGAUUAAUACCGGAUGGCCCUUCGGAUCUUCGGUUCUGAAGGAAAAGGUAGCUUCGGCCUCCGACCGAGGACGAGCCCGCGGCGGGUUAGCUUGUUGGUGGGGUAACGGCCUACCAAGGCGACGAUCCGUAGCUGGUCUGAGAGGACGAUCAGCCACACUGGGACUGAGACACGGCCCAGACUCCUACGGGAGGCAGCAGUGGGGAAUCUUGCGCUAAUGCGGGAAACCGUGAUGCAGCGACGCCGCGUGGGGGAAGAAGGCCUUCGGGUUGUAAACCUCUUUCAGGAGGGACGAAGCUACUCGGGUUAAUAGCCCAGAGGGUGACGGUACCUCCAGAAGAAGCCCCGGCUAACUACGUGCCAGCCGCCGCCGUAACAC
rnacentral:rRNA from 1 species